AAUCUGAAAUUCAGUUCUGUAUGACUAUUAAAGAGUAUUAAAGAGUAUCCCUAUCCAAGAUAUACUUCUUUCAAGAGAAGAGACAAGCAAAGCUCCACCAAUGAUUUUGUACAUUAAAGUGGAAAAACAAAUGAGUAAAUCCUUUGCCAUUCACACUUCAGCCAUGAUCCUGCAGUAUGGCAAUGAAAGCAGCCAGCGUACCAGUUUGCUGUUCAGGAGAGAAGCUGUCAGAUCUAAGACUACUGUGAAUCCAGGAAAGCUGGUGGUUUCCUACACACUUGUACACUGCUAUGCAUGUCACUGAGGAUUACGUGCAUGUCAAGUUGAAACCCUCCUGUCCCCGCUGCAGCUUGAAGAAUCAUAUACUUCUCUUGUGUCAGCUGAGGUUGACAGUGGCAUGCUUGCGAGAUUUGCAAAUGUAUCCAGGAUUUGACUCAUAACUCCUGGACAUCCAGGCUUUUCCUACUUUUCACUCUUGUAUUAAUCUGAAGAUUACACCAAUAGGGAGUGUCUAAAUCACCAGCAGGAUCAUAUCUGUCUCCCCAUAGAAUGACCGAACGAUGGCUUUGAAACAUGGGUGGCUACAGAAAAUGAAAUUGUGAUCAACCCAGAAAGAGGAACUAUGAAGAAGUAAUGUCCACCCUGGGAUUAUAGAGAUAACCAGAAACAUGAUACCUGACACUUGACAGAUAAGAUACAUAGCGGCUUAUAAGUUACACACACUCACAGCUCAGGAAAGGAAAACACUGCACUCCAAGCAGGGCCACACAAGGGCUGCAAUCUGGAAGAGAAUGAAGAACCAGGGGAAGACUCAUAAGAGGGAUUCCAAUUACAUACAGGCAUACCUCGGAGAUAUUGUGCAUUGGGAUACAGACCACCACAAUAAGGCAAUUAUCACAAUAAAUUUGAAUGAGAGCUAUGGAACCAUCUUCAAAUUCACUGAUUCAUUCCUCAGCUACCUACUGCUGGUAACCUGUCAAAAGGAGUCUUCAUACAUUUUGUAUCAAUUUUUUUAUUGU